ensembl:rRNA 5S_rRNA 5S ribosomal RNA
AUCUCCGGGCAUACCACUCUGAAUGUGCCCAGUCUCAUCUGAUAUUGUAAGCUAAGCAGGGCCAGGUCUGGUUAGUACUUGGACUGUAGAUUACCUGGGGAUGCAGGGCAUUGUGGGUA